NAAGGGAAGGGAAGGGAAGGGAAGGGAAGGGAAGGGAAGGAAGAGGUCACCACGCUAGCACCCCAGAACAGGGCAUCUGGGUGGAGCCAGAUCAGUUUAUUCAGACAUUUUUGUUUUCGCAGGAAGAGAUUCUUUUGGGAAGGGGCCCUAGGUGAGAUGUCCUGUACUGGAAACAACCACAAGUCAGACUAAGGCUCUUAGCUUCCAAUUAGGUUGGUUUCAGUCUUUUAUAUGAAGUAUCUAAUUUUUACCAGGAGAAUGAUUGUCCAGAUCUUAAUCUUUUCUAAAGAUUAGUUUCCUGUCCUGGUUUCAAUUUCAGUGGAGUUUACCCUACCUUUUCCUUGUGACUUGUGCCAGGUAUGUAUGGAGGAGAAAGCAGUGUGUGUUUAUACAUAUAUGUGUGUAUAUGUAUAUAUACAUAUGUACGUGUAUAUACAUAAGUAUGUAUAUACAUAUACAUGUGUGUAUACACACACACACACAUCUUUCUCUCUAUAUAUAUCAGUAGAAUGGAGCAGGUUCUUAUGCCUAUAUGCAGCUGAUUCAGACAUUAAUUACAUAACCAUACAAAUGUGCUUGACUUUGGAGGGCCUCGUCCUGCCCACAGACAUUGAGAAAGUACAACCCUAUUAUUGCUCAGUACAACCUAUCAAGACCAAGACCUCCCGUAUUUCCUCCACGAAUUAUCUUUCACCAAAAUUUAAAAUGUCCAUACUGCUGUCUGUUACUAAUAAAAACAGCCUACCUCGUGUAAUUAAACAGUCGAAUCUGACUACAUGCCGAUUUUAUUGGUAGUGACUGUGGCACAUUA
ensembl:lincRNA Gm20554 predicted gene, 20554